UAAGCUUCUUUCAUUCUGGUGGCAUUUUGUCUAGGACUGCAGAUGUUUAUGGUAUGGAAACAUAUACAUAUAAUGUUAUCCUAACUUAUCCGCUUUUUCUUCUCUCAUAUCUUUGCGAAAAAAUGGGCUAGAGUCUUCUAACAACUGUGGCUUGGAAUUUCCUGCCGCCUCAAAGCUAUUUCAAGAAAGCAAAAAUUCAGUGCAAAAAUUGAUCAGUUCAACAGUUCACUGUUCUUUCAAAAUGUACGUUUUGCAUAGAAUACUUGCAUCUAUCAAAAUAAUCAUUGGCGGCUUUCCCCCACUUUUUUUUUUCCUAAGGCUGGUCAUGCUUGGCCUUUUCACAUCAUUGACCCCGCCUUGAAGAUACCCGAUUCCAGAUGUGGAGCAUCUCUGCCCCUGUGACCGUUUAGGAGUGUAACCUGACUAUUCCAAGCCCAGCCUAUUUUCACUCAUUCCAGCCCAAGCCCAUGUAAAAGUGCCCAGUGGAUUGGUUGCUUUUUCCACCGAUGCCAGGUGGGCAGAAGAUCUGGUAAGCGCUACAGGAUGUUUCUGCAGGGAUCCUACUGGGAACACAUAACUACAAAGAAAAUAUGCACGGGGAGGAACAUCCAAGAGUGUGUGAAUGAAGACAGAAGAAAAUGACCUAAGAGCAGGAAGAGCCAAUGUCAAUUAAACAGAUGCAAGUUACAUGUGACAGAGGUUAUCUUAUCUGCUUAUGGUUACAAUUUCAUAUUAUAAAUACCUUAUUUGCAAAACCAACUUAUUUUCAUCUCCCUUCCUCCCAACAUUCUCCCCCCACAAUUUAAAUCCCACAACAGUUUAGCCACUCUACACAUCUGAUGAAGUCAUCUGCAACUCAGAAAAGAUUAUGUCUUUUAAUAAGAGUGAUGAUGAUGAUUUUGUAUUAGUGAGAUAUUCACCUUACUAGCAGCAGAAUCUAGCUAUCACCACUUUUUUCUUUAAAUCGCAGAAUGAUCCCACUGCUUUGAAUUUCCAAAAUAUAAUUCAGAAAUCUAUGACACAAAUGGUACCUCUAUGGAUUGUUUGUCAUCAGCAACAUCUGUAGAUGAAGCCCAUAGACUCACUUGACUUCUUUCAGAAUAAAAAUAAAUAAACUGAUUAAAAUCUAUAUAUAUAAAAGUGAUAUACCACUCAUGCAUCAUCACAAAAUCUCCAGAACCGUAAAGCCUACAAACUUCAAAUUUGCCACGUAUGUUCCUCUUGGCUUCUAGGUACUCACUAAGAAAGGAUUUUUCGAAAUGACCAUCAGAGAAUUUGUAUUUCCUAUAUUAGUAUUAAAAGGCUCUGAUGCUAAGGAGUUCUACUCC